GACGAACGCUGGCGGCGUGCUUAACACAUGCAAGUCGAACGGAAAGGCCCUGCUUUUGUGGGGUGCUCGAGUGGCGAACGGGUGAGUAACACGUGAGUAACCUGCCCUUGACUUUGGGAUAACUUCAGGAAACUGGGGCUAAUACCGGAUAGGAGCUCCUGCUGCAUGGUGGGGGUUGGAAAGUUUCGGCGGUUGGGGAUGGACUCGCGGCUUAUCAGCUUGUUGGUGGGGUAGUGGCUUACCAAGGCUUUGACGGGUAGCCGGCCUGAGAGGGUGACCGGCCACAUUGGGACUGAGAUACGGCGCAGACUCCUACGGGAGGCAGCAGUGGGGAAUAUUGCACAAUGGGCGGAAGCCUGAUGCAGCAACGCCGCGUGCGGGAUGACGGCCUGCGGGUUGUAAACCGCUUUCGCCUGUGACGAAGCGUGAGUGACGGUAAUGGGUAAAGAAGCACCGGCUAACUACGUG
rnacentral:rRNA from 1 species